GUUUCCUAAGACUAUCACUGGACGGUCAGGCUUCCAAGGCAAUGGUAGAACAGAGAUGGCUCAUGUUGGAUAAGGAGACCACCCAACUUUAUGACACCAUUGUAGCUAAUUGCAUCUGCAUGGAGACCCUUUCCAAAUAAGGUCACCUUCAGAGGUCAUGUGACCUUUCAACGUAUGUUGAAGAUGACAGUGUAUCAGUCUGCGGGGUGCAGAACAAGCCCACACAGUAGACUUUGUCAUCUACACUUUGAAGAUGACCAUGAAGAAGCCUUGUGAAGACUGAUACUGUCAAGGACGCCCAGCUCCUGAGCCUUACCCCAAGCCUGAGUUUCAUCCGGCCAAGACACAUGCUCAGAGAACCAUCAUGAGAUUCAAGCAGAUGGAACCUUGACUACUUUUGACUGGCAACUCCAAGGUCUACACACCCAGUGUAGUCCUGACAGGAGGUAAAGUGGGUCCUUGUUUAUCUAGAAUCAGAAUCUCUUCCUUUCUUAGGGUCCACUUAAAGCUGGGACAGGUAGACAGUAUGCCUUCCUGACAGAUGGCCAUUUUUGUUGGGUUGAUCUUUAGGUCUCUUGCCUUUUCUCUUUCUGAAAUCACCAUAUGUCGGAUGAUUAGAGCAAUGAACUUACAGUUUCAAAGAUUAUUAAGGUAAUAUGUAAUUUUAAAUAUUGGUGUGGUCUUGAUGCCAUAUUUGUUCAAUAAAAUUCUUUAAGUGCUUGAAUAAUGGAGACUCACUUUAUCUUUGAAUCCAGUUGAACCAACACAAUACAUUUGCUAUUCAUUACAUGUAAAGCAGAUGUGGAAACAGCCAUCUGAUACUUAAAAUCUUUAGCUAAACCAUUUCUGUAUUAUUAUCUGUCCAAAUUAAUAAUGAUACCUAGUACCCAAGUUAUACAUGAGAAUCCGUUUAGCUGUGUACUGCCAUGCAUUGUCUUUGCUCUCUUGGCAUAGAGGAAGGAGCAGGGACAUUCAGAUAAAAAGGCUAGCUUGCGUUCAGUGGUCAAACCUAGGUUGCUCUUCCAAAGAACCCAUUCCGAGCACCCACAUGGAGGUUUACAACUCUCUGUUGCUCUCUUCUGGCCUCCAUAUGCAUGUGGUGCAUAGAUAUACGCACAGGCCAAAACAC
rnacentral:sRNA from 1 species